rnacentral:tRNA from 1 species
CAAAUAAUUCCUAUCUUCUAUUAGGAAUAGCGUUUCGAUAUGAUCGAUGGUCUGAACGAAUCCCUUUCUUCAUACAAAUGU